rnacentral:rRNA from 1 species
GACAGAGGGUGCAAACGUUGUUCGGAAUUACUGGGCGUAAAGCGCGUGUAGGCUGCUCCGAAAGUCAGGUGUGAAAGCCCCGGGCUCAACCUGGGAAGUGCACUUGAAACCUCGGAGCUUGAAUGUCGGAGAGGGCAGCGGAAUUCUCGGUGUAGAGGUGAAAUUCGUAGAUAUCGAGAGGAACACCUGUGGCGAAGGCGACUUCCUGGCCUGUUCUUGACGCUGAGGCGCGAAAGCUAGGGUAGCAAACGGG